GUGUUUGAAGCCAUGGUUUGCUUGGGACAUGAAGCUCUUGGGACGUAUGAAAGCCCAAUUCUCUCAUCUUUCCAACCCGGGUUCAAUACCAACAUGAACCUUCAGAACUUGCUAAGGAUAUUCAUGGAUCUAAACACACGACCUUCAGCGAAUCCUCACGUACGAACGACAUACCAGAUUCUGCGCAAGCUCCGGGUAAUCGCUCCCCUUUGUUUAUGCGCUUCCGUUUUCCUUCGCUUCUUACCUUUUCUCUUCUUUUUUAGUUUUUCUUGUUCUUCUUCUCUGAGUGUUAUCGUUGAAAGGUGGAGGGUUAAAGGUUGUGUUUCGGCUGAAGAGUGAAGCUGAUGGUGAGUGAGGGUGUUCUUGAAUUUUCGUUUUUUGCAGGUUUCUGAAAUUGGUUAAGGGAGUGGUUGUAGUUGGUUAGGAAUUGUUGAACAUUCGAAGUUCUAGACGUUCGAGUGUGAAGAAGUUGAAGUUAUGAAGGUUGAGGGUGAGUGAUGAAGAUGAAGAUCAUUCUCAGUGGUUGUGGAGGGUGUUGCAGAGUGAAGUUUUUGGGUUCUAUUAUGAUGAAGUUCGGGUGGUGGAGGAAGUUGGGGGGAAUUUUUUGAAUUAGAAGGGGUUUGUUGAAUGAAGAGGAGGUUCAUAAUUGAAGUUCCCAAUGGUUCAUUCUGUUCUGACAGUUUUGUUAGGAGGGAAUUGUGAGGUAGUUGCGAAUUCUGUUAGGGUAGUUCUGGAUUAGUUAUUUUGCAGAUCCCUAGGCUAAGUUAGUUAGGUUUUUCUGAGUUAAAUUUUGUGAAUGUUAGGUUUUGUCCAGUAAUGUGGUUUAGUGAAUGGUUAAGUUCAGAUUGUGUUGGCUGAAUUUGACCCUGAUGCAUUGUAGGUGUUUCAUGGUUUUUUUCCUUUGUGUUUUAUAGUGUAGAAUGUGUAUUAUGACUUUGUAAUGCAGGUUUGUUGGUAAUGAAGUGGUAGGUCUUGGUUUAUGGUUAAAAAUUGGCCAAUGUUUGGAUGGUUUCUGCAGCAUGACCUCAUGGUCCAUUGGCUUGUGUACAAGUAUGAAUCAGGCGGGGCUUCCCUUAUUAUCUACCUAUGGCAUGGUUUGGCAGCACAUGGUCGUGCACACAUGAGGUGAAUUAUGUACAAGGCCUGCAAAGAUGAAAGACAUCAAGUUUGAAAUUUGAAAUAUCCAUAACAAAUGGAAAAUAUCAAGUAGGAAUUUGGGAGGUUAUGAAUAGGAUUUAGGACUUUGGGUUGUAAAAUGAUUAAGUUGACUUUGGUCAAAGUUGAGCAAAAAGUCAAAUAUUGACCAAAGUCAACAUUUGGUCAAAGUUCAUUUUUUGUAAUUUUUUCUCAUGGAAUGGACAAUAUAAUGGAUUGUAAAUGGUUAUUUGAAUGAAUUUGAAAGGUUUUGAAAUUGAA